rnacentral:rRNA from 1 species
UGAACGUUGGCGGCAGGCCUUAGACAUGCAAGUCGAACGGUAACAGCAGAGCUUGCUCUGGCUGACGAGUGGCGGACGGGUGAGUAACGCGUAGGAAUCUACCCAGUAGCGGGGGAUAGCCCGGGGAAACCCGGAAUAAUACCGCAUACGCCCCACGGGGGAAAGAGGGCCUCUUCUUGAAAGCUCUCACUAUUGGAGGAGCCUGCGUUGGAUUAGCUAGUUGGUGGGGUAAAGGCCUACCAAGGCGACGAUCCAUAGCUGGUCUGAGAGGACGAUCAGCCACACUGGAACUGAGACACGGUCCAGACUCCUACGGGAGGCAGCAGUCAGGAAUAUUGUGCAAUGGGGGAAACCCUGACACAGCCAUGCCGCGUGUGUGAAGAAGGCCUUAGGGUUGUAAAGCACUUUCAGUAGGGAGGAACUAGCAGCGUUAAUACCGCUGUGAGAUGACGUUACCUACAGAAGAAGAUCCGGCUAACUCCGUGCCAGCAGCCGCGGUAAUACGGAGGGAUCGAACGUUAAUCGGAAUUACUGGGCGUAAAGCGCGCGUAGGUGGUUUGUUAAGUGGGAUGUGAAAGCCCCGGGCUCAACCUGGGAACUGCAUUCCAAACUGACAAACUAGAGUACGAUAGAGGGGGGUAGAAUUCAGAGUGUAGCGGUGAAAUGCGUAGAUAUUCUGAGGAAUACCGGUGGCGAAGGCGGCCCCCUGGAUUGAUACUGACACUGAGGUGCGAAAGCGUGGGGAGCAAACAGGAU